rnacentral:rRNA from 1 species
CAGGGAUUGCCCUAGUAACGGCGAGUGAAGCGGCAACAGCUCAAAUUUGAAAUCUGGCUCUCUUUGGGGGUCCGAGUUGUAAUUUGCAGAGGAUGCUUUGGCAUUGGCGGCGGUCUAAGUUCCUUGGAACAGGACAUCACAGAGGGUGAGAAUCCCGUACGUGGUCGCCUGCCUUUGCCGUGUAAAGCUCCUUCGACGAGUCGAGUUGUUUGGGAAUGCAGCUCUAAAUGGGAGGUAAAUUUCUUCUAAAGCUAAAUACUGGCCAGAGACCGAUAGCGCACAAGUAGAGUGAUCGAAAGAUGAAAAGUACUUUGGAAAGAGAGUCAAAAAGCACGUGAAAUUGUUGAAAGGGAAGCGCUUGCAGCCAGACUUGCCCGCAGUUGCUCACCUAGGCUUUGGCCUGGGGCACUCUUCUGCGGGCAGGCCAGCAUCAGUUUGGGCGGUUGGAUAAAGGCCUCUGUCACGUAUCUCCCUUCGGGGUGACCUUAUAGGGGAGGCGCAAUGCAACCAGCCCGGACUGAGGUCCGCGCAUCUGCUAGGAUGCUGGCGUAAUGGCUGUAAGCGGCCCGUCUUGAAACACGGACCAAGGAGUCUAACAUCUAUGCGAGUGUUUGGGUGUCAAGCCCGAGCGCGCAAUGAAAGUGAACGGAGGUGGGAACCCUUUGGGUGCACCAUCGACCGAUCCUGAUGUCUUCGGAUGGAUUUGAGUAAGAGCAUAGCUGUUGGGACCCGAAAGAUGGUGAACUAUGCUUGAAUAGGGUGAAGCCAGAGGAAACUCUGGUGGAGGCUCGCAGCGGUUCUGACGUGCAAAUCGAUCGUCAAAUUUGGGCAUAGGGGCGAAAGACUAAUCGAACCAUCUAGUAGCUGGUUCCUGCCGAA